rnacentral:lncRNA from 1 species
GCAGGUUUGCUACACCCACUGGACCUGUCCCUGUUAGACCUGAGCAUUUUUUUCAGAUUGUUCCAUGAAUGGCACCUGCCAAGAGCCAGAAGAAUGUAAGUCCACAAGGAAUCAUUAUCUACCAAGAGAUGAGAAGGGAUUGUGCCAAGGCUGACAGGAACAUGUUCUCCAGAGUUUACAAUGCAAUCUAAGGACUUGAUACAAAGCCUAUCCUGAGAAUCCUUCUGACUCCAGCAGGCUUAAGUUUGCAACUGGGACUCGAGACAGAAAUGUCAAAAUACCACAAGUAAGGCUGCUUCUGAAAUAUUUCUGAUCGACUAGAAGGAAAAAACACCCAAAAACUCACUCAAGAGAAUCCAGUCUUGCAACAUUUCUAUCUUAAUUUGACAUAUCAAGUAUAUAUGCCGUAUAAAUUAUAUAAUAGCAUUCUAACUUUUGGUUCCUUCUGAAAAUGUAAACUUGUGUCACCAACACACAUCUUAAAGAGCUCACAUAUAAUCAUGAGCAAUAUAAUCAUAAA